rnacentral:rRNA from 1 species
AGCAGCCGCGGUAAUUCCAGCUCCAAUAGCGUAUAUUAAAGUUGUUGCAGUUAAAAAGCUCGUAGUUGAACUUCGGGGUUUACUCAUUGGUCAGGCUUAAUUGUCUGUACUGGUGAGAUAAAUCUCUACCUUCUGAGGAACUUUCAUGCCAUUUAUUUGGUGUGAUUGGAAAUCAGGACUAUUACUUUGAAAAAUUAGAGUGUUUAAAGCAGGCUAACGUCUGAAUAUAUUAGCAUGGAAUAAUGAAAUAGGACGGCUUGGUUCUAUUUCGUUGGUUUCUAGGAUCACCGUAAUGAUUAAUAGGGAUAGUUGGGGGCAUUAGUAUUCAAUUGUCAGAGGUGAAAUUCUUGGAUUUAUUGAAGACUAACUACUGCGAAAGCAUUUGCCAAGGAUGUUUUCAUUAAUCAAGAACGAAAGUUAGGGGAUCGAAGACGAUCAGAUACCGUCGUAGUCUUAACCAUAAACUAUGCCGACUAGGGAUCGGACGAAGUUAAUUUUAUAAUGACGCGUUCGGCACCUU